UACAGAGGGGGCAAGCGUUAUCCGGAAUUAUUGGGCGUAAAGCGUCCGCAGGUGGCUGUUCAAGUCUGCUGUCAAAGCGCAGAGCUUAACUCUGUACAGGCGGUGGAAACUGAAGAGCUAGAGUAUGGUAGGGGUAGAGGGAAUUCCCGGUGUAGCGGUGAAAUGCGUAGAUAUCGGGAAGAACACCAGUGGCGAAAGCGCUCUACUGGGCCAUAACUGACACUGAGGGACGAAAGCUAGGGGAGCGAAAGGG
rnacentral:rRNA from 1 species